rnacentral:rRNA from 1 species
GCACUGUUUCGGCUAGGGGGCCAUCCCGGCUUACCAACCCGAUGCAAACUGCGAAUACCGGAGAAUGUUAUCACGGGAGACACACGGCGGGUGCUAACGUCCGUCGUGAAGAGGGAAACAACCCAGACCGCCAGCUAAGGUCCCAAAGUCAUGGUUAAGUGGGAAACGAUGUGGGAAGGCCCAGACAGCCAGGAUGUUGGCUUAGAAGCAGCCAUCAUUUAAAGAAAGCGUAAUAGCUCACUGGUCGAGUCGGCCUGCGCGGAAGAUGUAACGGGGCUAAACCAUGCACCGAAGCUGCGGCAGCGACACUGUGUGUUGUUGGGUA